rnacentral:rRNA from 1 species
GACGAACGCUGGCGGCGUGCUUAACACAUGCAAGUCGAACGGAAAGGCCCUGCUUUUGUGGGGUGCUCGAGUGGCGAACGGGUGAGUAACACGUGAGUAACCUGCCCUUGACUUUGGGAUAACUUCAGGAAACUGGGGCUAAUACCGGAUAGGAGCUCCUGCUGCAUGGUGGGGGUUGGAAAGUUUCGGCGGUUGGGGAUGGACUCGCGGCUUAUCAGCUUGUUGGUGGGGUAGUGGCUUACCAAGGCUUUGACGGGUAGCCGGCCUGAGAGGGUGACCGGCCACAUUGGGACUGAGAUACGGCCCAGACUCCUACGGGAGGCAGCAGUGGGGAAUAUUGCACAAUGGGCGGAAGCCUGAUGCAGCAACGCCGCGUGCGGGAUGACGGCCUUCGGGUUGUAAACCGCUUUCGCCUGUGACGAAGCGUGAGUGACGGUAAUGGGUAAAGAAGCACCGGCUAACUACGUGCCAGCAGCCGCGGUGAUACGUANGGUGCGAGCGUUGUCCGGAUUUAUUGGGCGUAAAGGGCUCGUAGGUGGUUGAUCGCGUCGGAAGUGUAAUCUUGGGGCUUAACCCUGAGCGUGCUUUCGAUACGGGUUGACUUGAGGAAGGUAGGGGAGAAUGGAAUUCCUGGUGGAGCGGUGGAAUGCGCAGAUAUCAGGAGGAACACCAGUGGCGAAGGCGGUUCUCUGGGCCUUUCCUGACGCUGAGGAGCGAAAGCGUGGGGAGCGAACAGGCUUAGAUACCCUGGUAGUCCACGCUGUAAACGGUGGGUACUAGGUGUGGGGUCCAUUCCACGGGUUCCGUGCCGUAGCUAACGCUUUAAGUACCCCGCCUGGGGAGUACGGCCGCGAGGCUAAAACUCAAAGGAAUUGACGGGGCCCCGCACAAGCGGCGGAGCAUGCGGAUUAAUUCGAUGCAACGCGUAGAACCUUACCUGGGUUUGACAUGGAUCGGGAGUGCUCAGAGAUGGGUGUGCCUCUUUUGGGGUCGGUUCACAGGUGGUGCAUGGCUGUCGUCAGCUCGUGUCGUGAGAUGUUGGGUUAAGUCCCGCAACGAGCGCAACCCUUGUUCACUGUUGCCAGCACGUUAUGGUGGGGACUCAGUGGAGACCGCCGGGGUCAACUCGGAGGAAGGUGGGGAUGACGUCAAGUCAUCAUGCCCCUUAUGUCCAGGGCUUCACGCAUGCUACAAUGGCUGGUACAGAGAGUGGCGAGCCUGUGAGGGUGAGCGAAUCUCGGAAAGCCGGUCUCAGUUCGGAUUGGGGUCUGCAACUCGACCUCAUGAAGUCGGAGUCGCUAGUAAUCGCAGAUCAGCAACGCUGCGGUGAAUACGUUCCCGGG